rnacentral:rRNA from 1 species
AACGAACGCUGGCGGCAUGCCUAAUACAUGCAAGUCGAACGAGAUCUUCGGAUCUAGUGGCGCACGGGUGCGUAACGCGUGGGAAUCUGCCCUUGGGUUCGGAAUAACUUCUGGAAACGGAAGCUAAUACCGGAUGAUGACGUAAGUCCAAAGAUUUAUCGCCCAAGGAUGAGCCCGCGUAGGAUUAGCUAGUUGGUGAGGUAAAGGCUCACCAAGGCGACGAUCCUUAGCUGGUCUGGGAGGAUGAUCAGCCACACUGGGACUGAGACACGGCCCAGACUCCUACGGGAGGCAGCAGCAGGGAAUAUUGGACAAUGGGCGAAAGCCUGAUCCAGCAAUGCCGCGUGAGUGAUGAAGGCCUUAGGGUUGUAAAGCUCUUUUACCCGGGAUGAUAAUGACAGUACCGGGAGAAUAAGCUCCGGCUAACUCCGUGCCAGCCGCCGCAGUAAGAC